GAUGAACGCUGGCGGCGUGCCUAAUACAUGCAAGUCGAGCGAACGGACGAGAAGCUUGCUUUUCUGAUGUUAGCGGCGGACGGGUGAGUAACACGUGGAUAACCUACCUAUAAGACUGGGAUAACUUCGGGAAACCGGAGCUAAUACCGGAUAAUAUUUUGAACCGCAUGGUUCAAAAGUGAAAGACGGUCUUGCUGUCACUUAUAGAUGGAUCCGCGCUGCAUUAGCUAGUUGGUAAGGUAACGGCUUACCAAGGCAACGAUGCAUAGCCGACCUGAGAGGGUGAUCGGCCACAUUGGAACUGAGACACGGUUCAGACUCCUACGGGAGGCAGCAGUAGGGAAUCUUCCGCAAUGGGCGAAAGCCUGACGGAGCAACGCCGCGUGAGUGAUGAAGGUCUUCGGAUCGUAAAACUCUGUUAUUAGGGAGGAACAUAUGUGUAAGUAACUGUGCACAUCUUGACGGUACCUAAUCAGAAAGCCACGGCUAACUACGUG
rnacentral:rRNA from 1 species